rnacentral:rRNA from 1 species
UGGGGAAUAUUGCACAAUGGGGGAAACCCUGAUGCAGCGACGCCGCGUGGAGGAAGAAGGUCUUCGGAUUGUAAACUCCUGUUGUUGAGGAAGAUAAUGACGGUACUCAACAAGGAAGUGACGGCUAACUACGUGCCAGCAGCCGCGGUAAAACGUAGGUCACAAGCGUUGUCCGGAAUUACUGGGUGUAAAGGGAGCGCAGGCGGGAGAACAAGUUGGAAGUGAAAUCCAUGGGCUCAACCCGUGAAUUGCUUUCAAAACUGCUGGCCUUGAGUAGUGCAGAGGUAGGUGGAAUUCCCGGUGUAGCGGUGGAAUGCGUAGAUAUCGGGAGGAACACCAGUGGCGAAGGCGACCUACUGGGCACCAACUGACGCUGAGGCUCGAAAGCAUGGGUAGCAAACAGGAUUAGAUACCCUGGUAGUCCAUGCCGUAAACGAUGAUUACUAGGUGUGGGGGGUCUGACCCCCUCCGUGCCGGAGUUAACACAAUAAGUAAUCCACCUGGGGAGUACGACCGCAAGGUUGAAACUCAAAGGAAUUGACGGGGGCCCGCACAAGCAGUGGAGUAUGUGGUUUAAUUCGAAGCAACGCGAAGAACCUUACCAGGUCUUGACAUCCAUAUAAUUUUCUAGAGAUAGAGAAGUGCCCUUCGGGGAAAUAUGAGACAGGUGGUGCAUGGUUGUCGUCAGCUCGUGUCGUGAGAUGUUGGGUUAAGUCCCGCAACGAGCGCAACCCUUGUCAUUAGUUGCUACGCAAGAGCACUCUAAUGAGACUGCCGUUGACAAAACGGAGGAAGGUGGGGACGACGUCAAAUCAUCAUGCCCCUUAUGACCUGGGCUACACACGUACUACAAUGGCCGUCAACAGAGAGAAGCAAAGCCGCGAGGCGGAGCAAAACUCCAAAAACGGUCCCAGUUCGGAUCGCAGGCUGCAACCCGCCUGCGUGAAGUCGGAAUUGCUAGUAAUCGCGGAUCAGCAUGCCGCGGUGAAUACGUUCCC